rnacentral:lncRNA from 12 species
CCUUCAGCCCACAUUAGCUCUGCUCACUGCAGCAUGGGCUUUGUUUUAUGAGAGGGUCACGUCUCUCUCACCCUUCCAUUCAGAAAAUGGCUGUGGUUGCCCAUGAAUUGUUGCAAUCAGUACCACUUAGAAAUGAGAUGAUGUGCUCAAAUGGUGCAGAAAGAGUGAUCAUCCCCCAAAGCUGAACUUUAGACUUAUUUUCCACAAACACCUUUGGAUAAUCAAGCAGUGACCAUGCAGAGCACAGUGUGCUGAUGAACUCUGCACAGGCUUGGCUUUUCCCUGUCACUUGUCUCAUAUUCACACCCAGAGGGGUGGAAUAUAAAUGCUGAAUCUGGAACAAAAAUGCACUGGCUCCAAAUUGGAACUGGGGUUGGUGCUCUACUUGGUAUAAACACCACAGUGCUCCUCCUGUUUCAAACCCUGUGGAUUUUGGGCUGUUUGAUCCUUUCACGAGUGAGGAAAUGGAAGCAUCAAAGACCUUUUCUCAUCUGAGAAGGCAAGAGGAAGAAAAAGAGGGAUGGCUGAGCAAUAACAGCUCCUGAAAAAGUGUGAUAAAGCUGUAAAUGAUUUGAAGAUCUUAAGGCUGCUUUAGUGUAAUAAAACUAAGAGGUCACCACUUGCUGUAGGUAACACCAUCAUAUUAAUAAUUGCUGGAACUGUCUCAUUAUCAUCAUG